rnacentral:rRNA from 1 species
UACAGAGGGUGCAAGCGUUGUUCGGAAUUAUUGGGCGUAAAGGGCGCGUAGGCGGCUAGAUGUGUCAAAGGUGAAAUCCCUCGGCUCAACUGAGGAACUGCCUUUGAAACUGUCUGGCUUGAGGCCGGGAGAGGGUAGCGGAAUUCCCAGUGUAGCGGUGAAAUGCGUAGAUAUUGGGAGGAACACCAGUGGCGAAGGCGGCUACCUGGACCGGUUCUGACGCUGAUGCGCGAAAGCGUGGGGAGCAAACGGG